CCCUUAGAUGUUCUGGGCCGCACGCGCGCUACACUGACGGAGGCAGCGAGCAUGUCCUUCGCCGUAAGGUGCGGGGAAUCUUGUGAAACUCCGUCGUGCUGGGGAUAGAUCAUUGCAAUUCUUGAUCUUGAACGAGGAAUUCCUAGUAAGCGCGAGUCAGCAGCUCGCGUUGAUUACGUCCCUGCCCUUUGUACACACCGCCCGUCGCUACUACCGAUUGAAUGGUUUAGUGAGACCUUCGGAUUGGAGCCGCCGGGACGGGCAACCGCCGCGGCGGAUUUCGAGAAGUCGGUCAAACUUGAUCAUUUAGAGGAAGUAAAANUCGUAACA
rnacentral:rRNA from 1 species